rnacentral:rRNA from 1 species
GACGGGAGAGUCUCUNGUGGGAACGUACCCUUCGGUUCGGAAUAACCCAGGGAAACUUGGACUAAUACUGGACCCGUCCGAAAGGAGAAAGAUUUAUCGCCGAAGGAUCGGCCCGCGGCUGAUUAGCUAGUUGGUGAGGUAACGGCUCACCAAGGCGACGAUCGGUAGCUGGUCUGAGAGGAUGAUCAGCCUCACUGGGACUGAGACACGGCCCAGACUCCUACGGGAGGCAGCAGUGGG